UCUCAUAGGCAGUCCACAGAAACUCCCACCACUACAGUGACCGUUUAAUAUACCACCAGACCCAUAAAAAUUCCAGUAGCAUAAUAUGGCGAAUAAAAUGUAAUUCAGUCUACCGAGACAAAUCCAAAACUAUUCAUAUAUUUCAUGCCAACCCCAAAAAUCUAGCCAUCAUGCUACCAUAGUGUCAUAAGCCCCAAUUUCAAUAACAUAUAAAAUCAUAAAUUUUAACACAGUCUCCAUAUACUCAAUUUUCCCAAAACAAUAUUUGAUUUCAAAACUAGUAUAAAUCUCAUUUUUAUUCAAAAAAACAUUUUAAUUAGAAAACAUAAUAUUUAAUAAUUUAAGCUCACCAUUCAAUAAAAGCAUCAAACAAGUAU
rnacentral:lncRNA from 1 species